GACAGAACCCCCAGGCACGCAUAGAAACUCACUCCACAGACAACAAACAUGCGACAGAUUUAUAACACCAUUACAAAGUUAAGACACGGAAGCCAAGACCUCUGAGCAGGUACCCUUCUACCUUGUGCAGCUCUUUACCGAACAGACCGCAUCGCUUGAAGCAGGCUUUCCAGCGAGCGUGCACGACAGCAGCAGCAAAACGGAG